AUUCACUCUGCACAGUCUUUAGAAAAAGAAGUUCAGGAAGUGAAAUCCACUUUACAAACUAUGCUCGCACAGCUCAAGGUGGAAGAAGAAGAAGAAGAAGAGGAGGAGGAAGAGGAGGAAGUGAAUGAGUUGAAUGACCUCAUGAAAAAUGGGACUGAGGAAGAAGAAGAGGAAGAGGAAGAGGAGGAGGACCAGUACUUCAGUGACAGUUGGGACAUUUGAAAUGGAAUCCUGUAGUGUUUCAUGGGCACUCACACACAGACGGGCUCUCGGAGAGCCUGACCUCGGCUUUGCAGUAGAACUGACCCCAUAUCCAUUUACUGUAAAGCCUCACUCAAAGCGCUUCACAACCAGCCUCUGUGGUACUGCUGGAAGUUUCCACUACAAAGCCUUGGAAAGUCUGUGUAACAUUCAUCCAUCUUCAGAUGGAGAAACAUGAAGCAUUUUCAUACAAAUGCAACACGUGAGACACUUUCCUGCAAACUUUGGAAGUUUCUCAAACCUUGAGAAUGCCUUUGACCAAGAGUUUAUAUGGUAAUUAUUUUUAAAUUAAGAUGUUUUUAGAUUUCAUGCCAUGUCUUGCUGAGCAAUUAAUAUUUUUUCAAUUUUUACUGUAUAAACAUAACCAAUUUUGUUGUCAUUUGCAAACCGGUUGAGUCUCAGAAGUUUAAAAUUAAAGUAAGACUGCAACUUUUUCAGAACAAACUUGUUGAAUUUUGCCCAAGUGGACAAUCUAAAAGUAUUUUUUGUGUGUUUUUUUUUUUUUUGUAUUACUGGUAACAGUUUUGCACAUAAACUAAAACUUAUACUUAAUUUUCAGGUCAUCCAGCCACUUUUGUGUGUUCUCUGUACGACUGGACUUCACUUCCGUGUAAUUUGGUCCAUGAAAUAACAUUUGUGGUGCUACGAAACGUGACCUAACUUGAACACUUUAUUUUCUUUGUGUGGAAAAUGCAAUAUUUAGAUUGUUUCUUUGCUCUCUUCAAGCAGUGUAGACGUGCUCUGAAUUUUUAAAAUUCAUCUGCCACAAUAGUCAAAUUGUGUUUUGUGCAUGUCGGAAAUAGUGAAGGAUAAAAUAUCAGCAGGCACAUAAAGUAAGUAUUUGCAACUGCUGUUUUGUUGUUGUUGUUUUCCUACUGACUGCCACUGAUUGUUUUUAUUUUAUUUGCAAAUAUACUUUCACUGGGUGUCACUUGACUUCUUGCCAGAAAACAUAUUUGUACUUUCACUCAUUAAUCAGUUUUUAAUUCACUGUGCAGCUUGAAGCC
ensembl:lncRNA